UUCUCAGUUUCAGGUCAUUAGCCAUGUUAACCCGUCCCCAUUCCAUAGUGGCCCAGAAGGCCCAGGCAUGAUCCAGCAUGUUCUUAGCAGCACCCAGCCAGCACUGGCACUCAGCAGAGGCAACUCUUUAUCCAAGUGGCUUGAAUAAGAUGAAUUAGCCUGUUGGAAGAUUAUUCUAAGACCUUCUCCGACACAUUCUAUACAGGGAACCAAAGCACGGAGCCAUAAGGAACAAGUUCUGAUACUUUGGAUGGGUUCUUGAAUCAGGACUGAAGACAUGAAGCCAACUGACUAGGAUGUUCCAUGAAAUCAUGACCCUCAACUUACAAAUCAAGGAGCCAAAUCCCAUGAGGUUUUUGGUCCUAUGUACUCCACCUCAGCAACUACUUUUUGACGUUGAUGUAAAUAUAUGUCACACAACUUUUGCCAAUUCAACUUUUCUCAGACACAGACCUUAUUGACAACAAUUAAAGUAAUCCACUGUGCAACAUA